AACGAGAAAGUGGAGCAAUCCAUGAUUACAGUGGCGAACGGGUGAGUAACACGUGACUAACCUGCCUUCGAGUGGGGGAUAACCUCGGGAAACCGGGGCUAAUACCGCAUAACAUCCUCAGGGUGCAAUUCCCAGGGGACCAAAGGGGUAAGACGCUUGAAGAGGGGGUCGCGGCUGAUUAGCUAGUUGGUGAGGUAAUGGCUCACCAAGGCGAAGAUCGGUAGCCGGCCUGAGAGGGCGCACGGCCACACUGGAACUGAAACACGGUCCAGACUCCUACGGGAGGCAGCAGUGGGGAAUUUUGCGCAAUGGGGGAAACCCUGACGCAGCAACGCCGCGUGGAGGAUGAAGCCCCUUGGGGCGUAAACUCCUUUCGAUCGGGACGAUUAUGACGGUACCGGAUGAAGAAGCACCGGCUAACUCUGUGCCAGCAGCCGCGGUAAUACAGAGGGUGCGAGCGUUGUUAGGAAUUAUUGGGCGUAAAGGGCGCGUAGGCGGUGCGGCAAGUCACCUGUGAAACCUCUGGGCUUAACCCAGAGCCUGCAGGCGAAACUGCCGUGCUGGAGUGUGGGAGAGGUGCGUGGAAUUCCCGGUGUAGCGGUGAAAUGCGUAGAUAUCGGGGAGGAACACCUGUGGCGAAAGCGGCGCACUGGACCACAACUGACUCUGAGGCGCGAAAGCUAGGGGAAGCAAACAGGAUUAGAUACCCUGGUAGUCCUAGCCCU
rnacentral:rRNA from 1 species